rnacentral:rRNA from 1 species
GGGGAAUAUUGGACAAUGGGCGCAAGCCUGAUCCAGCCAUGCCGCGUGAGUGAUGAAGGCCUUAGGGUUGUAAAGCUCUUUCAGUGGGGAAGAUAAUGACGGUACCCACAGAAGAAGCCCCGGCUAACUUCGUGCCAGCAGCCGCGGUAAUACGAAGGGGGCUAGCGUUGUUCGGAUUUACUGGGCGUAAAGCGCACGUAGGCGGAUCGUUAAGUCGGGGGUGAAAUCCUGGAGCUCAACUCCAGAACUGCCUUCGAUACUGGCGAUCUCGAGUCCGGAAGAGGUGAGUGGAACUCCUAGUGUAGAGGUGGAAUUCGUAGAUAUUAGGAAGAACACCAGUGGCGAAGGCGGCUCACUGGUCCGGUACUGACGCUGAGGUGCGAAAGCGUGGGGAGCAAAC